GGAGCAGCUGGGAACCUGGGAUUGUUCUGGAGCUCGCCGGAACUCACCGGAACUCGCCGCCCUGUGUGAGGCCCUGUGCAGAGGUUCUAGCCAGAGAAAUACAUUCCUGGUCAGCGUGAUGGAAGAGGCUCAGGCCAAUGACUCUUUUCAACUUGAACUUGAAGAUUUCAUUAGAAAGCAGAAAGCCAGAGGAUUACAUCCAAAUGUCUGCUUCAGAAAGAUGGCAGCGGAUUCCGUUCACCAGAAGAGAGACAGUGGCAGCCCUGGAGCCAUGCGGGGGCUACCAUUCUGGCUCAGAAACGACUUCAGAUCCUCUCCUUCCUAUAAAAGGCUGACAGUGGAAAACCAGGUACCUUACUGCAGACAAAGACUGGAAUCUCUAAAACACAGUCUGAAAAACCAGCCAAUCAGUCAAGACAGAAAGGAGAGGACAAGGCUCCAGGGGGAAGGAGAAGCCACCACUUGGGAGCCAGGGAUGCCCAAGGGGAAACUCUACAGAGUGAGGGGUUCACGCACGGAAGACAGCCUCAGCAGAAGGAAGGUCUCAGCAGAGCCAGUGGCUACACAGAAGUCUAAGCACAGAAAGGAGAACCACCAUGAUGGGAGAGACUCCACCAAAGGCAGGCGCCGGUCCCACCAAAAGCAGAAGGGGCCGGAGGAGAGGGAUUUGUGGGACGAAGCUAUCCUGGGCAGUCGCUACUGAUGAUUGCACAUUUCGGGUCCCAAAAGUCAGUGUGUUGAUUCUCUUGGUAAGGGUGGAUUAAAUGACCUCAAAGCAAUUAGAUGCCAGGCCAGCGGCUGUGGCCCAUCUACUCUGCUGGUGUAGCACUUGUGAGUCUUCACAGGGUUGCUCUCCUGGUACUGGCAGUGACAGACCCUUUAGUGUGCAAGGCCUUUGGGCUGUGCUGACAGACACAGGGACUUUCAGUCACAAGCCUGAGUGCCUGGAGCUGUAGAAGCCAGUCAGUCCAGCAAGAUCUAGGUGCUGGAUACUGUUCUGCUCCAGGCGUUAAUCAUCAGAGGCCCUAGCCCUUGGCUCAGAGCAGAAGCUAAUGGGAGUAGAUAGUAGCUGUCAGCUUCCCAGCAGGCCUUGCAUUUGAAUGCUCGGCUCCUGUUAACAGGCCAGAGCUACAGUCCUGGGGACGGGCGUAUUCAGACGCCUGGCAUCUCCCUGAAGCUCUUCCUGUGAGCAGGGCCUCCUUGCCCUUCUACAGCUUUUUGUUGUUUCCAGUACCUCUGCUUCCUAUUGUUUCUGCCCUUAGCCACUCUGGGAAUUUGAGCCAUGUUCUUACCAUCAUUGCUACUAUGGAAAACACGGCAACAAGAGCUGCUGCCACCUUUGCCAUAGCUACUGCUCUGGCGAUGCUUCUGUCCUUCACUCGGUCUUCUGGCUGCCACUCAACCCCUCUAAUAAUGAUAAAGAUCAAAAGAAGACAAGAAAAGAAUUGUGAUCUGCACUAAUUGGGCUGCAUUUUUUUUUCCAAGCUGAGGAUUUAAUCCAGAGCCUUGGGCUUGCUAGGCAAGAGCUCUCUCACUUAGCUACAUCUCACCCCCAGUCGUGAGCUGCCUUCUGAUGGGCCACCAAAGGAAGUGCCCUGCCACACCUAGUCUGGCUAAAAUUUAGGCUGCAGGAUUACCCAACAUUCACUGAGGUUUAUGAAAAGCAGAUCGACAUGUGCUCUGUAAAACAGUCUUGGCAAUAAUAGCUGGGCUUACAGGUGUUCACCACCAUGCCCACCAAGAGAGAACUGUCUUAUAAUACAUUAGCCAGAUGCUAUUAAACAAGCAAAAUUAAAUGUCAAAACAUUUAAAAGCAAAGCAGAAGGCCUUGCUAUAAAAAUCUAUAAAAAUUAGAGUCUUGAAAAUAGGCAUUAAAUAAACACACAGAAGAACUCCAGAAAGACAUGGAGUAUCUGGUACGAGUGGGCUCAGGACACAAGAAUUUGAUGGGUAAAGGACAGCAGUGAGGGACAGACUAACCUUCAAGGGGCUAGUGAGAGGGCUUGGGGUAGAGGUGCUUGCCACCAAGCCUGGCUUAAACCUGAGUUUGAUCUCUGGGACUCACACUGUAGGAGAGAGCUAACGCCUGCAGUGUGCUGGCUUUAUGCAGAAUUUUGUUUCAUAUGCGACUUUUCCCGUUGCUAUUUGUCAAGAAACAGAGCGGAGGGAAAUUACUUGUUAUCAUUCUGUUAAAUGUCCUGCCCCAGGUGUCAAAUUAUCAUCUCUCAAAACAGGACCACUUGGCUUUUUAAACUCUUCCAGUAGAGGGUGGUAGAAGGUUAUUGUAGAGUCAGGAAAGGGGGACAUUCCCUUUCCCUGGUGUGCCCUUAGUUACAAAAACAGGGAGUUGCUAGGGAAAAGGUCCUACCUAUUGCCUAUCUAUGUGCCUCAGCAAAUGGCUUUGUUGGUGGAUUCUCUUUGCAGAGUGUAAAUCCUGAGUGGUUGGGGAAAGGACCCUCAGGCUCCCCCGCUCUGAGUUAUGCCUCCCCAGCCCCACCCAUGGAGCCCAGCCCCAGGCAGGUCAACUGCCACCUGUAGGUCACAGCCAGCCACCUGCUCGGUGCUCUGGAUCUGACAGUUGUAGCAUUUGAAUCUCAAGUAUACAAAGUGCAGAUGUCUUCAUUCAUUGAACUGCGUUCCAGAGCCUGUACAGGUGGGCCUGGUGACUGGCUCAGUGUGUGUUGCCAAGCUUGACAACCUGUGCUCCAUCCCUGGGUCCUUCAUGGCGGGAGGAGAGAGAACCCAUUCCCGCUAGCGCUCUGACCUCCACAUGCGGCAUGUACUCAUCCCCCCACCCCCCAACACACAAAGUUUUUUUAAAACAUGCAUUCAUUUUAUCUUGGAUUUCACCAAUAAAAAUGUUGUGUAUGACUGUU
ensembl:lincRNA Gm1070 predicted gene 1070